GGGGCCAUAGGCAAAUCGGAUAAGCCGCAGGGCCUUCAACCCUGAGAUCGCGAGUUCAAAUCUCGCUGGCCCCA
rnacentral:tRNA from 1 species